GCAUGUGUGUAUAUGGGUGUGUGUACAAUUUAAUACUCAAUAUAUCUGAGACCAGUAAGUACUAGUCUUAUUCACAUUUUAAUUUUUUAAACUUUUUUAAUGUUUAUUUUUAAGAAAAAAAGAGUGUGAGCAGGGGAGGGGCAGAGAGAGAGAGAGAGAGAGAGAGAGAGAAUCUGAAGUAGGUUCCAGGCUCUGAGCUGUCAACACAGAGCCCAACGCAGGGCUCAGACUCAUGAACCGCAAGAUCCUGACCCGAGCUGAAGUCAGAUGCUUAACCGACUGAGCCACCCAGGCGCCCCUCUCAUUUUAAUUAUUUUUUUAACGUUUACUUAUUUUUGAGAGAGAGAGAGAAACACAGUGUGAUUAGGGGAGGGGCAGAGAGAGAGGGAGACACAGAAUCCCAAGCAGGCUCCAGGCUCUGAGCUGUCAUCACAGAGCCCAAUGUGGGGCUUGAACUCACGAACUGUGAGAUCAUGACCUGAGCCAAAAUUGGAUGCUCAACCAACUGAGCCACCCAGGUGCCCCAUUAGAGACAAAGAAUCAUAGAUAUAGAGAAGUGUAAUCAAAUUACCCAAGGUUAUUUAUCAAAAAAUAGUGGAGCCUAGAGUCAAACCUAUAUGAUAUUCUGAAUCCACAGUCAAAUCUUUUACUAUGUUACUUUCCUUACAAUGGAAAAACGAAUCUCUCUCUCUGUCCAUGUCUGUCUCUAUGUCCCCUCUCAGCAGCAAGGAAUUCCAUUAUCAUUAUCAAGUCACACAGUAAUUCUCCUGUUGCUCCAUUUUAAUUUUUUUAAUUUUUUUUUUUUUUUUAGUUUUUGAGAUAGAGAGAGACAGAGCAUGAGCAGGGGAGGGGCAGAGAGAGAGGGAGACACAGAAUCCGAAGCAGGGUCCAGGCUCUGGGCUGUCAUCACAAAGCCUGACGUGGGGCUCGAACUGACGGACUGUGAGAUGAUGACCUGAGCUGAAGUCAGACACUCAACCGACUGAGCCACCAAGGUGCCCCAUCCUGUUGCUCCAUUUUAGAAAAAAAACAAAAAAAACAAAACAUGUGUUACAGAGAUUGUGUAACAAAUCGCCAUUAGAAGCAAUUCAACUCUAUCAAAUAGGCCAUACCUUUUGCAGAUUUAUUUUUCCAAAUAGCACAGGAGGACGCCAGCCUCUUGCAGAUAGAAGCCCAGGGGUCACACCAGUCCUUCCAUCCUUACACUGGCAGAUAGAUGCCUCUACACUGGAUUCUUUGAGGGGGCUUAAGCACCUUUGGGAACCUGAGCCUCAGAAGGAACUGGAGCUAGAGCCAGAGUUACAGCUGCAGUCUGGGCCUUGGUUUGAGCCUUAGCCUUGGCCUUUGGCCGGCAGAGCUGGAGACCCCUGGCAAUGCAGGCAUGAGCAUGUUUCUCGAGCUUGGGGUGAGUGAUGAGGCAAGUCAAUUGAGCCUGUGUUAUUCUUCUGACUCAUGAAUACAUGAUGUCUUUCCAUUUGUUUGUGUCUUUGAUUUCUUUCAACAAAGUCUAGUAGUUUUCAUUGUACAGAUCUUACAUGUCCUUGGUUAAAUUUAUUCCUAAGUAUUUUAUUGUCUUUGAUGCUAUUGUGAAUGGGAUAAUUU
rnacentral:lncRNA from 1 species